UUCCCUAGUACGGCGAGUGAGCGGGAAGAGCUCAAAUUUGAAAUCUGGUGGCCUCAGGUCAUCCGAGUUGUAAUCUAUAGAAGUGUUUUCCGUGCUGGCUCAUGUACAAGUCCCUUGGAACAGGGCGUCAUAGAGGGUGAGAAUCCCGUCCUUGACAUGAACUACCAGUGCUCUGUGAUACAUUUUCAACGAGUCGAGUUGUUUGGGAAUGCAGCUCAAAAUGGGUGGUAAAUUCCAUCUAAAGCUAAAUAUUGGCGAGAGACCGAUAGCGAACAAGUACCGUGAGGGAAAGAUGAAAAGCACUUUGGAAAGAGAGUUAAACAGUAUGUGAAAUUGUUGAAAGGGAAACGAUUGAAGUCAGUCGUGCUCUUUGGAUUCAGCCGGUUCUGCCGGUGUACUUCCUUUGAGUGGGGUCAACAUCAGUUUUGAUCGCUGGAUAAAGGCUGGAGGAACGUAGUACCCUCGGGUAAACUUAUAGCCUCCUGUCACAUACAGUGGUUGGGACUGAGGAACGCAGCACGCCUUUAUGGCCGGGAUUCGUCCACGUACGUGCUUAGGAUGUUGACAUAAUGGCUUUAAACGACCCGUCUUGAAACACGGACCAU
rnacentral:rRNA from 1 species